rnacentral:lncRNA from 1 species
UUUUAUUUUAAAAACUCACUUGCAAUAUCCAACAUAAAAUUCUCUAUUUUCAUUGCUAAUUUAUAUGGACACCUUCAAUACUCAGUCCCAAACAUGAAUUCACAGUCCAACUCACAGCGCAAUCAUAUCGCGAUUAUCAUAUAUCAUACUUGACAUCAACUUCUUCUACCACAUUAACUUCAAAUAUAAAACUUACUUGAAUUUGACUUCGUUCUAUCUUUAGAAAAUCAAAUGGGUACAACCCCUACCCUGCUAUAUGUUGCUCGACUUCCUUCAAUCAGUAACUUAUAUCCAUUUUUUUCUUGCCCAAUUCGUUGGAGCUUGGCCGAAAAUUAGGAGGAGUUUGAGUGUUAUAACAUGUAACUGUUAGGAAGGGAUAAAGGAAUAGAAAGGAGAGAACUUUUUAAGACUUAGCCCCCUCCUGUUUU